rnacentral:rRNA from 1 species
GACGAACGCUGGCGGCGUGCUUAACACAUGCAAGUCGAACGGAAAGGCCCUGCUUGCGUGGUGCGCUCGUGGCGCACACGGGUGUAUAACGUGUGUGUUCCCUGCUCUACAUCUGGGGAUGCCUGGGGAACUCGGUGUCAUAUCCGGUAUAGGCCCUCCUGCUGCAGGUGGUUGGUUGGAUUUUUCGGUCUAGGGUGGGAUUACGGCCGAUUAGCUUGUUUGUGGGGGGAGGGGCUACCAAGGCGGCGAUGGGUGGCCGGCCUGGGAGGGUGGACGGCCGAAUUGGGACUGGGAUACGGCCCAGACUCCUACGGGGGGCAGCAGUGGGGAAUAUUGCACAAUGGGGGCAAGCCUGAUGCAGCGACGCCGCGUGGGGGAUGACGGCCUUCGGGUUGUAAACUCCUUUCGCUAGGGACGAAGCUGUUUGUGACGGUACCUAGAUAAGAAGCACCGGCUAACUACGUG